GCUGGCUGGUCGCUGUGGGUUUAGGACUGGACUCCACGGUCUCAGCUCUGCUUUCCAGUGUUCGGGACCCUGGAGACGUUUGCUUUGUAUUUCCCCACAUUGGAAGGUGGAACUUCCUUUUGAAACAGCAUUCUAUUGUGAAUUGAGCGAAGGUUUUACGGAGCCGAUCAGUUUUCCACUCAACAAUCCAUGCACAUUUUGUCUCUCGUCACAGAAUGCAGUCUCCACAAAGAAGUAGAAAAUGACGGCGUGAUGCAAUAGACGUUUCUUUCCAGAAUGAAUUGUGCUAACAGAAGUAACUGGCACCACGUUCGGCACACUUGACCCAAAGCCAGCUGGUGACCAAGGUCAUGCCCAAGAAUAUUUAGAGAGUUUCAAAAAGGCAACCAAGAGUGGCAGAGCAGGGACUCAGAAUAUCCAUCGGCCAGCUGCCUCUCACCAGCUCCG